rnacentral:rRNA from 1 species
GACGAACGCUGGCGGCGUGCUUAACACAUGCAAGUCGAACGAAGAGCGAUGGAAGCUUGCUUCUAUCAAUCUUAGUGGCGCACGGGUGAGUAACGCGUAAUCAACCUGCCCUUCAGAGGGGGACAACAGUUGGAAACGACUGCUAAUGCCGCAUACGAUCUGACCUCGGCAUCGAGGAUAGAUGAAAGGUGGCCUCUAUUUAUAAGCUAUCACUGAAGGAGGGGAUUGCGUCUGAUUAGCUAGCUGGAGGGGUAACGGCCAACCAAGGCGAUGAUCAGUAGCCGGUCUGGGAGGAUGAACGGCCACAUUGGGACUGAGACACGGCCCAGACUCCUACGGGAGGCAGCAGUGGGGAAUCUUCCGCAAUGGACGAAAGUCUGACGGAGCAACGCCGCGGGAGUGAUGACGGCCUUCGGGUUGUAAAGCUCUGUUAAUCGGGACGAAAGGCCUUCUUGCGAAUAGUUAGAAGGAUUGACGGUACCGGAAUAGAAAGCCACGGCUAACUACGUG